rnacentral:rRNA from 1 species
UGGGGAAUAUUGCACAAUGGGCGCAAGCCUGAUGCAGCCAUGCCGCGUGUGUGAAGAAGGCCUUCGGGUUGUAAAGCACUUUCAGCGAGGAGGAAGGUGGUGAGCUUAAUACGCUCAUCAAUUGACGUUACUCGCAGAAGAAGCACCGGCUAACUCCGUGCCAGCAGCCGCGGUAAUACGGAGGGUGCAAGCGUUAAUCGGAAUUACUGGGCGUAAAGCGCACGCAGGCGGUUUGUUAAGUCAGAUGUGAAAUCCCCGGGCUCAACCUGGGAACUGCAUUUGAAACUGGCAAGCUAGAGUCUCGUAGAGGGGGGUAGAAUUCCAGGUGUAGCGGUGAAAUGCGUAGAGAUCUGGAGGAAUACCGGUGGCGAAGGCGGCCCCCUGGACGAAGACUGACGCUCAGGUGCGAAAGCGUGGGGCAGCAAACAGGAUUAGAUACCCUGGUAGUCCACGCUGUAAACGAUGUCGAUUUGGAGGUUGUGCCCUUGAGGCGUGGCUUCCGGAGCUAACGCGUU